rnacentral:rRNA from 1 species
UGAGGAAUAUUGGUCAAUGGACGAGAGUCUGAACCAGCCAAGUAGCGUGCAGGAUGACGGCCCUAUGGGUUGUAAACUGCUUUUGUUUGGGAAUAAUCGACAUUACGUGUAAUGUUUUGCAUGUACCAUUCGAAUAAGGACCGGCUAAUUCCGUGCCAGCAGCCGCGGUAAUACGGAAGGUCCAGGCGUUAUCCGGAUUUAUUGGGUUUAAAGGGAGUGUAGGCGGUUGGUUAAGCGUGUUGUGAAAUGUAGAUGCUCAACAUCUGACUUGCAGCGCGAACUGGCUGACUUGAGUACACACAACGUAGGCGGAAUGCAUGGUGUAGCGGUGAAAUGCUUAGAUAUCAUGAAGAACUCCGAUUGCGAAGGCAGCUUACGGGAGCGCAACUGACGCUGAAGCUCGAAGGUGCGGGUAUCGAACAGG